CCUCCUGGAGAUUUUAAGUAAAACUUUGGGGGGGGGGGUUCUUUUUCGGGCCACACCUGUGGUAUAUGAAAGUUCCCAGACUAGGGGUCCAAUCUGAGCUGCAGCUGCCAGCCUACCCCACAGCCACAGCAACACAGCACCUAAGCCACAUCUGCGACCUACACCACAGCUCUCAGCAGUGCUGGAUCCUUAACCCACCGAGCGGGGCCAGGGAUCGAACCCGCAUCCUCAUGGAUGCUAGUCGAGUUUGUUACCGCUGAGCCAUGAUGGGGACUCUAGAUUAGCAUCCAUGAGGACGUGGGUUCAAUCCCUGGCCCCGCUCAGUAGGUGGAUUAAGGAUCCGGUGUUGCCGUGAGCUGUGGUGUAGGUCACAGAUGCGGCUCGGAUCCCGCCGGCAUAGGCCGGCAGCUGCAACUCUGAUUCAGCCCCUAGUCUGGGAACCUCCAUAUGCCGUGGGUGUGGCCGUUAAAAGAAAAAUAAAUAAAUAAAUAAAUAAAUGCAGGUCAACUCACCCAUCUCUUGAUAGAAGGUAACAGAGCCUUUUCUUGGAAUGUGGAUCCAGUAAUUCUAGUUUGGGGUCAACAUUCCUUCUAAAUUGUCCCCACCACGCACCCUCUUCCAUUUCCAGUGUCGCUUUCUUUAAAGCAGAUAGAAACUUGAAGGACAUUUGGGAAGCUAUCUCCGUGCAGAAUCCAUCUGCAGACCUGCUGCCUUUCCCCAGACCUCACCGUCCUCCCGGCGGCCCGGCCGUGAUACACUGUUGUUUGACGGUCUGUUGGAUCUGUGACAAAGCGUCCAGAGUAGUGUUAGUGAGGCGAGAACCCUGUGCUCACAGUUCAUUAGUUAAUGUAGCAUUUAGUACGUUUCAUAAAUGCGAUGAGAAGCCACCGGGCGUCAGCAGGUUUGGGACCCACUGACACUCUGGGUUAGGAGGUGCCCAGGGGUCCGACUGGGGCAGAAAGGCGGGCCGCCCCCGCCCGGUGAGCUCCAGGGCCCGUGGGCAGCUGUCAGCACGUCGGCAGAAUAGACAGCCUUGUUAAUUCAGCACCAAGGUCAGGUGGAGGCCUGGCUAAGCAACCUUCUCCUCUACAUAUUUUUAGAAGCCGCACAUAUCACCCGUAAAUAUUUAAUGUUGUGUUUAUAGACUUUGGCAUCAUAAAACUUCAAAAAGGUGACUCAGGAAGUUGGUGAGUGUGUUCCUCCAGGAGAAGAAGAAUUUCCCCAGCACGCUGCGCGGUGUAAGGAAACCACCACUGACACGCUUAGAAAGAGAUAAAGAACCGUCUGAUCAUAUUCACACUUACCAGGCGAGGCGGUGAUGGCUCGUCUUUGCUGGCCAGGGUUUUCCUGACGCCUUUCCGAUUUUACAGAUAAUGUACUGCAUGUAAUGAGCACUUUGAAAACAUAGAAUUCAGUCUGGAAAGAAAAGAAACACCCCUCAGUCCAACCCACCUGUCGCAAUUCCCAUCAGCGUGGUGGUAUAUUUUCUUCCAAAUGUUGAUACUCCUGCGUGCGUAACCGAAUGCAGGCUCAGCUUUGUCAUACGCCGCUUCCGCUUAACCUUACAGAGUAAGCGUUUGAGCAUCGACUGACAUUUAUUGAAAAUAUUUUCAUGCAUCUGUCGUGUCAAGGACGUGUACUGUAAUUGAUUUAACACGCGGUGCUGGAGGUUUAGAUUGCUUCCAAUUUUUGCUUUAGGGUAGAUGGCUGGAAAUAGAGCGAGAGGGCUCCCGAGACCGAUGACGACGUCGCUUUCCUGAAAGGUUGUGCCAAUUGCCUGACGUUGCCAGGGGCCCGGAGGUGGGUGCCAGGUGCUCUCAGCCCACAACGGGGAUGGUGGUGGGCACUUUUUUUUUUGUUUUUGCGUUUCUUUGAUUCUUAACGAGGUGGACUGUUUCAUCUUGGUUGCCGGUCCUUUGCGUUUCUUUUUCUGUGAGUUGGAUGCAAGCUGCUUUUCAGUCAUACCUCAGGUUCUCUUUCGAGCAUCACCCUUUCUGGGUUUCGCUCGAAUGCCAGCCGUUUUGAAAAUGGAGACGUCGGGGUUUCAGCUCACCGGGCCACUCCCGAUGGUGGCCGGGACGUCGGUCUCCUGACUGUAGCCCGACCGUGUGUCUGCCUGUCCGGGCUGCGUAUUAAACAAGGGUUAAGUCCGGAAAGGCAGCGGCGAGUGUGCAGAUGAGUGUAUUCCCAAGAUCCCGCCUCCACUCUGUCGUUAACUCUUCGCUCCUUUUCCUUAACUCACGCGGGGGACGCCAGUUCGGACCGCUUGUUUAGGGAGACUGGAUGUGUUCGAACGUGAGCCGUGAGCCGGGUGUGUGGAUUCUCCUCAUCUCGUUCCCUAGUGUAUGUAUCAAAAGCCAGUAUUUUCUCAGAAUGACAUCUGUAGGAAAAGCCCAAAUUCUUAGGUUAGCCAAGAAAAGCUUUUAAAACAUAUAUGAUUAUAAAUUGGCAAGCUUGCCACUUGUUUCUGCUUGUCACUAGCCACGUUUGUUUCCCAAGCAUGUGUGUCUUAUGUGCAGAUGAGUGUAUACGUGGGACAUACGUUUUGUUGUGCAGAUGCAUUAAUUGAAGAUCUAUUAUGUGACAAGCCCUGUGCUGUCUUUGAAGCAUUGGGCUGUUGUGUGAUUCACGGGGGACAAGGAGGGGAUUGUUGGUUUUCUCUGUCGCUCUGAAAUCAUUAUUCAAAUGUCUCUACCUUGCCAGUUGCUACUGUCUCCUUUCACUGUUGGGUAAAUCACACAGUGAGAAAGCUUUACACAUAUCAAUUUCACGUCCUCCUUUUAUAGUGUUUAAGUAUUUCUAUUUUUUUUUUUUCAUUCUCUAAAGAAAGCUUUCCAAACUUGGAAAUGAAAAUAAUGCAAGGGGAGGGGAAAAAAUGAUUCAGAAAUUACCCAUAGGUUGUUACAAACUAACACUAUGAUAAAUUUGGGGUGCAUGUCUAUCGUGUGACAGCUUAACAGAUGGCAUUUCUUAGUGCUGUUGGUGUAUUUUUGCUCAGAAUCAUGUUGAAUAGGUAUGAAUCUAGCCAUGAAUCAUUUCCUGCCAAAUUUCAGUAGGUGAGGUAACACGUGGGGACGUGGCUGCAUUUCUGUAAUAAGGCCCCUUGUCUCAGGACUCAGGGCUCUGUUUCCUCUCAGCAGGCUACUCCUGCCCACGAGGAGUUUUCUCGGUUCUACCCUGGGCAGUACCCACAGAAAUUAGGACUGGAGGCAGCAGCCGGACUCCCUCCCACAUCUCUGUCCAAAUCGUGGCUCAAGGUCAGAGUCCUGCGGUUUGCUCUCAGCUUCUCGGGGCCUGUGGGUGCACGUACAGGCACAGUGCCAGUUUCCUCUGUGGACCAAGAGAAUCCAUGCUCUCCACCCACCUAAGGAAAGUAAAAAUGCUCUUUCGUAAAUAUCUCGUCCUUUACAUCCUGCAGAAUGAAUUGCUUCUCCUUAAUGCCAGCCCACCUGCGGCUGGUUGUUGUCGGAGUUCAAAAUAGAACUUAAAGUGGCAAGACUAUGCCUCGGGGAGAAGACCAGCGAGCGUUCCGUUUGUCACCCUUGAUGAGAUGCACACAGGGACCCUGUGUGAGGGGCCCAGACCUCCAGAUGUUGGUUGAAAGCUUGGAGUGGGCGGGGCCUCAUGAAACCUUAAAGCGGCAACCUCGGGGGCAAGAGGUCAUCUCUAAAGGGAAAUUUAAUACAACAGUAAGAGCAACAGUAACUAAGAGUGGGAGUUCCCUCAUCUGUAACAAAUCCCACUGCCAUUUAUGAUGGCACAGGUUCAAUCCUUGGCCUCAAUCAGUGGGUUAAGGAUCCAGCGUUGCCAUGAGCUCUGGUGUAGGUUGCAGCUAUGGCUCGGAUUCCAUGUCGCUGUGGCUGUGACGUAGGCUGGCACCUGCAGCUCCGGUUCAACCCCUGGCCUGGAACUUCCAUAGGCCACAGGUGCAGCCCUUAAAAAAAAAAAAAAAAAA
ensembl:lncRNA